rnacentral:rRNA from 1 species
GACGAACGCUGGCGGCGUGCUUAACACAUGCAAGUCGAACGGAAAGGCCCUGCUUGCCGGGUACUCGAGUGGCGAACGGGUGAGUAACACGUGGGUGAUCUGCCCUGCACUUCGGGAUAAGCCUGGGAAACUGGGUCUAAUACCGGAUAGGAGCCAUUUUUAGUGUGAUGGUUGGAAAGUUUUUUCGGUGUAGGAUGAGCUCGCGGCCUAUCAGCUUGUUGGUGGGGUAAUGGUCUACCAAGGCGGCGACGGGUAGCCGGCCUGAGAGGGUGGACGGCCACAUUGGGACUGAGAGACGGCCCAGACUCCUACGGGAGGCAGCAGUGGGGAAGAUUGCACAAUGGGCGCAAGCCUGAUGCAGCGACGCCGCGUGGGGGAUGACGGCCUUCGGGUUGUAAACUCCUUUCGCUAGGGACGAAGCUUUUUGUGACGGUACCUAGAGAAGAAGCACCGGCUAACUACGUG